UACAUAAGGUACCAUGGUGAUCUCAGGUCUAGGGAUCACUUACAUAAUUUUCACUAGAGAAUCAUCAGUUUGUUGUGAAUAGAGUCCCAAAGCCAAUCAUCAGCCUAUUGACGGUUGUGCUCAUUUUUGUAUAUGUACAUGAAUUAUGAAUUAAUAAAAAUUAUUUUGACAUUUUUCAUCACAAAAUAUUUCAUCUUCUAAUGAACUCCUAUGUUGUGGUGAAGUCCUUAGAACUAUUUAGACUCG
rnacentral:lncRNA from 1 species